rnacentral:rRNA from 1 species
GGCCUUUUGAAUUUAAUAUAAGGUCUGACCUGCCCAGUGAUAGUUUUAACGGCCGCGGUAUACUGACCGUGCAAAGGUAGCAUAAUCAUUAGUCUUUUAAUAGAGGGCUGGAAUGAAAGGUUUCACGAGGAACUGACUGUCUCAUUUUAUUUGUUUUAAAAUUUAAUUUUUUAGUUAAAAAGCUAAAAUUUUAUUGGUAGACGAGAAGACCCUAUAGAGCUUUACAUAUAAUUAAAUAAAUAUUUUUAUAUUAAUAUUUUUAUUUAUUUUUGUGUUUUGUUGGGGUGACAAAAAUAUAUAACUAACUUUUUUAUUUACUUUACAUUGAUUUAUGAAUAUUAGAUCCAAUACUAUUGAUUAUUAGACUAAGUUACCUUAGGGAUAACAGCGUAAUCCUCCUCCAGAGUUCAUAUUUACAGGAUGGGCUUGCGACCUCGAUGUUGGAUUAAGAUAAUAAUUAGGUGUAGCCGCUUAAUUGAUAGGUCUGUUCGACCUUUAAAUUCUU